rnacentral:rRNA from 1 species
UACAGAGGUCUCAAGCGUUGUUCGGAUUCAUUGGGCGUAAAGGGUGCGUAGGCGGCGCGGUAAGUCGGGUGUGAAAUCUCGGAGCUUAACUCCGAAACUGCAUUCGAUACUGCCGUGCUUGAGGACUGGAAAGGAGACUGGAAUUUACGGUGUAGCGGUGAAAUGCGUAGAUAUCGAGAGGAACACCUGCGGCGAAGGCGGGUAGCUGGGCCGACACUGACGCUGAAGCGCGAAAGCUAGGGGAGCGAACGGG